CUGGGGUCUCCUGGGUGUCAUGCUUCUCCACUGCUUCUCCUUGGGCUCUCCAUGGGAGAGGAUACUGCUGCAUUAUAUACCAUCUACACUGCUGCUCCAAGGAAUGUACACAAGGAGCCAGCUGCAGAUGAGGAGGAGGUGUGGAUUUAACAAUGGGAGCUUGUUGGUUCGCAUGGAUCUGGAGGGGAGAUGCUCUGUUGUGAACUGGCUUUCCAUUUCAGGAAGACUGGGCUUCAACAAAGUCUCUCUCAUUCAUGGUUGUCAUCACACUCUCCAGGCGUUAUGUGGCCAUAAUCAAGAUGGUUUUAGGAAGGUUAUUGGCUCCUUCUGGUUCUGCAUCCCAUACAAAGAUCUGUCUGCCUAUUACUGGAUGCACAGGUGGGUGAGAUUCCUCCUGGACCCGUGGCAUUUAGUGCUAGAUAUUACAACUUCCACAAAGGCAUUUGUUGGUGGAUGGAUGUCAAAUUCAUUGUUACAAAAAUGGAACAAAAAGAAGGACAAUAACAGGACAAUAAAUAACAAGUGUUGGAUUACUAUUGCCACUCCUUCCCCUCAUAAAUUUUAAUCUCAUCCAUCUACUUAUGUGGAUUU
rnacentral:lncRNA from 1 species